AUUGAACGCUGGCGGCAGGCCUAACACAUGCAAGUCGAACGAGUGGCGGACGGGUGAGUAAUGUCUGGGAAACUGCCUGAUGGAGGGGGAUAACUACUGGAAACGGUAGCUACUACCGCAUACCAUCGGAUGUGCCCAGCUGGGAUUAGCUCGUAGGUGGGGUAAAGGCUCACCUAGGCGACGAUCCCUAGCUGGUCUGAGAGGAUGACCAGCCACACUGGAACUGAGACACGGUCCAGACUCCUACGGUAGGCAGCAGUGGGGAAUAUGGCACAAUGGGCGAAAGCCUGAUGCAGCCAUGCCGCGUGUAUGAAGAAGGCCUUCGGGUUGUAAAGUACUUUCAGCGGGGAGGCGUUACCCGAAGAAGAAGCACCGGCUAACUCCGUGCCAGCAGCCGCGGUAAUAC
rnacentral:rRNA from 1 species